UACGAGGGGGGCGAGCGUUGUUCGGAAUUAUUGGGCGUAAAGGGUGCGUAGGCGGUUUGGUAAGUCUUAUGUGUAAUCUACAGGCUCAACUUGUAGUCUGCAUGAGAAACUGCCGGGCUUGAGUAUGGGAGAGGUGAGUGGAAUUCCUGGUGUAGCGGUGAAAUGCGUAGAUAUCAGGAGGAACACCUGUGGCGAAAGCGGCUCACUGGACCAUAACUGACGCUGAUGCACGAAAGCUAGGGGAGCAAACAGG
rnacentral:rRNA from 1 species